rnacentral:rRNA from 1 species
UACAGAGGUCCCAAGCGUUGUUCGGAUUCAUUGGGCGUAAAGGGUGCGUAGGCGGCGCGGUAAGUCGGGUGUGAAAUCUCGGGGCUCAACUGGGAGGGUGGUCGCGAGACGGCUGGGCUUGAGGCUCGGUGAGGGGCGUGGAAUUCCGGGUGGAGCGGUGAAAUGCGUAGAGAUCCGGAGGAACACCGACGGCGUAGGCAGCGCCCUAGACGAGACCUGACGCUCAGGCACGAAAGCGCGGGGAGCGAACAGG